UACGUAUGAGGCGAGCGUUGUUCGGAAUUAUUGGGCAUAAAGGGCGUGUAGGCGGGGAAUUAAGUUAGGUGUGAAAGCCACGGGCUCAACCCGUGAAUUGCACCUAAUACUGGUUCUCUUGAGUUCGGGAGAGGAGAGCGGAAUUCCAGGUGUAGCGGUGAAAUGCGUAGAUAUCUGGAAGAACACCAGUGGCGAAGGCGGCUCUCUGGCCUAGGACUGACGCUAAGGCGCGAAAGCGUGGGGAGCGAACGGGAUUAGAUACCCGCGUAGUCC
rnacentral:rRNA from 1 species